ACGGCCAUACCAUGCUGAAUAUACCGGUUCUCGCUAGAUCACCGAAGUCAAGCAUCAUUGGGCGCGGUCAGUACCAGGGUGGGGGACCACCUGGAAAUACCGGCGUGCCG
rnacentral:rRNA from 1 species